rnacentral:rRNA from 1 species
UACGAGGGGCGCAAGUGUUGUUCGGAAUUACUGGGCGUAAAGGGCGCGUAGGCGGCGUGCUAAGUCGAACGUGAAAUCCCCGGGCUCAACCCGGGAACUGCGUCCGAGACUGGCAGGCUUGAAUCCGGGAGAGGGAUGUGGAAUUCCAGGUGUAGCGGUGAAAUGCGUAGAUAUCUGGAGGAACAUCGGUGGCGAAGGCGGCAUCCUGGACCGGUAUUGACGCUGAGGCGCGAAAGCUAGGGGAGCGAACGGG